ACGCCACACUGGAACUGANACACGGUCCAGACUCCUACGGGAGGCAGCAGUAGGGAAUCUUCCGCAAUGGGCGAAAGCCUGACGGAGCAACGCCGCGUGAGUGAUGAAGGUCUUCGGAUCGUAAAACUCUGUUAUUAGGGAAGAACAAAUGUGUAAGUAACUAUGCACGUCUUGACGGUACCUAAU
rnacentral:rRNA from 1 species